rnacentral:rRNA from 1 species
AUGGAACAACUUAACCUGGAGGAUGAGGAGUUUGAUGAUCUGGUGAUCGAGGAGGAUGAUCCAGUGGUCAAUGAAGGAGUUCGCUGGUUAGCCCUAGCUAGGGUUUAUACGGAGAAAACUUUCAGUCCGACUGUGUUCUAUAAGGAUAUGCGAGCAGCUUGGAAGAUGGCGAAUCCCGUGAGAUUCAAGCCUGUUGGUCCGAACCUGUUCGUGGUACAAGCUGCAUGUCUUGGUGACUGGGAGCGCAUGGUGGAACAAGGGCCAUGGCUCUUCAGGAAUUGGUUAGUGCUCAUGAGCCCCUAUGAUGGCUUCACGAAGGCGGAGGAGGUACCCAUGUUGUAUAUGCCGAUCUGGCUCCAAAUUCACAAGCUACCGGAGGGGUUCCGUAGGAAGAACAUAGUGGAAUAAUUGCUAAGAAACUCUGGUGAUAUCCUGGAGAUGAGGCUGAACGGUAAUAUCCGAGGCGAUUAUGUGAGGGUUAGAGUUCGUCAUGACAUACGCCGGCCGCUCACAAAGUUCAUCAGUAUUGUGAGAGGGAAGGAGAGGCAAGUUUUUUUGGUUCGAUAUGAGAAGCUGGGUCGAUUUUGUAGUGUAUGCGGCCUGAUCGGGCAUGAAGUUAAGGAGUGUGGAUCGGGAGUUCAUGAAGAGAAAGAUAUGAAAUUCGGGCCUUGGCUGUAUGCCGAGGGUCCGAACAGAGGAAGAACAGAUGAGUCUGGUCGUGGUAACGACAAACAGCAGCAGCAACACCGCACCCCGCAGAAGGAAAAGGGUGUAAGGAGGACUAUGGAUCCGGACUUGGCUGACACGGCGACUAGCCCAGCGAAGUCGGCACCCAGGGACAUACAAGUUGACCCCUCUGCUAGGAAGAGGUGGCCAUGGAGCUUGAGGUUGGGGAGAAGGCGAAGACUGUCAUACCGACAGCUACUCUAG